CAGCAGCAGCAGCAGCUGCCCAACAGUUUAGCGACGCAAUUCAGCGGCGAAAAGGACAGCAGGCAAUCGUAAAGCAGCUGCCAGCAGCGGAAGCAGCAGCAGCAACAACUACAACUAAAACUAAACAUUUAAAGCUAUAGAAAUCAUAUUAAUUAAUGUUAGUCGCAGUGUAGUACAGUCAACUCCACUCAAAACUCAACUCCACUCAAAUACCAACUCGUGUGAAGAUCUCCACAAUAACAAACAAACAAUAAUAACAAAUGAAAUAAUGAUAUAUACAAAUACAUAGACACUGCAGCCACACACCCAUAUACAUACGCACACACAUAAAGGGCAUGUGGCUGUAAAAGCAUUUCACACCAAUACAUUGAAUGAGUUUAGUUAUUAAAAACAAAACAAAACAAAAAGAAAACCUAAAUAGCAUUAAAAACAAAA